rnacentral:rRNA from 1 species
GAUCAUGGCUCAGGAUGAACGCUAGCUACAGGCUUAACACAUGCAAGUCGAGGGGCAUCAGUUUGGUUUGCUUGCAAACCAAAGCUGGCGACCGGCGCACGGGUGAGUAACACGUAUCCAACCUGCCUCAUACUCGGGGAUAGCCUUUCGAAAGAAAGAUUAAUAUCCGAUAGCAUAUAUUUCCCGCAUGGGUUUUAUAUUAAAGAAAUUCCGGUAGACGAUGGGGAUGCGUUCCAUUAGA